GAUGAACGCUAGCGGCAGGCCUAAUACAUGCAAGUCGAACGGUGUCUUCGGACAUAGUGGCGCACGGGUGCGUAACACGUAUGCAACCUACCUUACAUUGGGGGAUAGCCUUUCGAAAGGGAGAUUAAUACCGCAUAAGACAGUAGCUGGGCAUCCAGCAGCUGUUAAAGAUUUAUCGAUGUAAGCUGGGCAUGCGUCCAAUUAGCUAGUUGGUGAGGUAACGGCUCACCAAGGCAAUGAUUGGUAGGGGAACUGAGAGGUCAAUCCCCCACACUGGCACUGGGAUACGGGCCAGACUCCUACGGGAGGCAGCAGUAGGGAAUAUUGGGCAAUGGACGCAAGUCUGACCCAGCCAUGCCGCGUGCAGGAUGAAGGCGUUAUGCGUUGUAAACUGCCUUUAUACAGGAAGAAACGACUCUUGCGAGAGGCAUUGACGGCACUGUAUUAAUAAGCACCGGCUAACUCCGUGCCAGCCGCCGCAGUAAAAC
rnacentral:rRNA from 1 species